AUUGCACGCUGGCGGCAGGCCUAACACAUGCAAGUCGAGCGGAGCGGCGGACGGGUGAGUAAUGCCUAGGAAUCUGCCUGGUAGUGGGGGAUAACGUCCGGAAACGGGCGCUAAUACCGCAUACUAUCAGAUGAGACUAGGUCGGAUUAGCUAGGUGGUGGGGUAAAGGCCUACCAAGGCGACGAUCCGUAACUGGUCUGAGAGGAUGAUCAGUCACCCGGGACCUUAUACACGGUCCGGACUCCUACGGGAGGCAGCAUUGGGAAAUAUUGGACAAUGGGCGAAGGCCUGAUCCAGCCAUGCCGCGUGUGUGAAGAAGGUCUUCGGAUUUUAAAGCACUUUAAGUUGGGAGGCGUUACCAACAGAAUAAGCACCGUCUAACUUCGUGCCAGCCGCCGCGGUAAUAC
rnacentral:rRNA from 1 species